rnacentral:rRNA from 1 species
UACGUAGGGGGCAAGCGUUAUCCGGAUUUACUGGGUGUAAAGGGAGCGUAGACGGCGUGCCAAGUCUGAUGUGAAAGCCCAGGGCUCAACCCUGGGACUGCUUUUGAAACUGCCGGGCUGGAGUGCAGGAGAGGUAAGCGGAAUUCCUAGUGUAGCGGUGAAAUGCGUAGAUAUUAGGAGGAACACCAGUGGCGAAGGCGGCUUACUGGACUGUAACUGACGUUGAGGCUCGAAAGCGUGGGUAUCGAACAGG